GCGUAUGGUCUAGGGGUAUGAUUUUCGCUUCGCACAUUCUGCCGGUGUAUUUGUGAAAGGUCUCGGGUUCAAAUCCCGAUAUGUCCA